UUCAAUCAAUAGAUUUUGAUAAAGUUCAAUUUCCAAAUAUAGCCGAGAUGAAUGCUCUCGUAUAUGUUGUUGGAUAUGCAGUGACAAAACUAAAACAUAGAAGGUGUCGUAAACGAAUGGUUCUGAAACACGGAGUAUUGCAGAUCCUGCAAAAUCGUUAUUCGUUCUGUAGAUUGAAACAUCAUCUUCAUGCAAACGGAUUCAAAUAUCCUAAUAAUGCAGCAAUUGAGAUCGGUACCCUUCUAUUAAUAGCUUUCAAAGAAAAAUUCUACAAUUUUUUUACCGAAAGUAGAUCAGGAGUGAAGAACAGAUUAACUGAAUAUGUUGAUUACUGUGACUAUGAGUCGUAUAUUUGCCCCACUUGUUUCGAAAGAUUUACUGACUGCCUUAUAAACACUCUAAUUAAAGGACAACUUUUGAAAAUAAAAAACAAAAUCAACAAGAAAAAUCGCAACACCAGUUUGAAAAAGAAUGGAAAAGCCCGCAGGAUGGGUAUUGAAAGCAAGCAACAGGUUAAUAAAACAGGCAAGAUGGAAAAAUAUAGGCGAACAAAUUAUAAAAUAAAACGAACCCGGCUAAAUCAAGAAUCUGAUUCAGUCCAGCCAAUUCAAAAUACAGAAAAAAAUGACGUUGUAAUCCCAAGUAGUACAAAGGAACUUAUUGGUGGUCCUAGCUCAUCAUGUGAAAAUGCUCCAUAACUCGUUGAAAAGGAUUAUGAACAAAUCGAGAUGGAAAAAUGUGUGACAAUGCUGGAAAAUUUUGUAGCUAAAUUCCCACCGCGAAAUACGAUUCGGGUCGAGCAAAGAGAUUGUCUUCACUUAUCUCUUGAAUACAUUUUAAGUACGUUCACUGAUUUUGAGAAUGAACUGCGGCACAUUUUUAUUAAGUACAAAAAAUACGGUAGAUACCUUUCCAAAAUAAUGGAAUUAACGAGUUGGAAUGAACUAUCCAAUAUCUUAGACGAGAAUCAUAAGUUAAGAAUGAUUAUUUAUCUGGAACAAAAACUGCUUCCAGAACAAGAAUUUGGAAUGGUAGGUUAAGAACUUGUUUAAGAUGGAUUUGAUAGCUAGAUUUAAACAAUUUUUUUCAGCAUAGCGAGUUUUUUAGCUCAGUUCUGAUUUAUGAAUGGGGGUUGCGUGUUUUCAUGAAAAUACAAAAUUUUUCAAACCGACAAGAUGCUCUAGAACACAUCAGGUUGCAGGAAGAUAUGGUCAUUUACGAACGUGACUAAGUGUAAGUCCAAUGUAUCGGGCCACGGUCCAUUUGCCUUAUCCUCAGAGGCGUAGGAGAUGUUUCCCGCGGCUCUGCACAUGACUAAUAAUAUGGAAAUAUUUAAAUCAAUUUCAUCAGUAUUCGUCUUCAUCGCUGCGGCUUCUAGUACGAUCUAGCUCCGAUGUUUUGUAUAUUGCCUCCAGUGGUCUUAUUAUUAAUAUUAUUACCAAUAAAAAAAUACAAAAUUGAUGCGAUGAACAAAAUGUAUUGGGUCUAUUUCACACCAUACCGAAAUGAUCAAAUAUGACCGAUCUUGAACAUGGCAUAUCUGUAUACAAAAGCAGCAUUUUUGAUUUGUUGUUUAGAAUAGUAUGUUAAUAAUCGAAAGGGGUGAAAUGUAUUUAUAUCAGCUUUUGUUUUCUAACUCUUAGUUAUUCGCAAUCUCUUUCCAAAGAUUCAUAUAAAUAUCUACAAUGGUUAUUAUAGUUUAUUCGAUUGCCAAAUUUCUCCGCAGAAUACUUUUGUGAACAUGGCUGCACUUCAAUUAAAUUGUUGCACUUUGUAUGAAAAUCUUCAGCUUGCGAAAAAACUAAGAUUCAGUAUAGUAUGUAGUAGAUGUUAAAAAACUGAAUUUGAAUCAACUUCCGUUUAUCAAAAUUUGCCGUAUAGUAUGUUAUUUACUGUUGUCGCUCUCACAUCAUACAUGUAAUGUUCGAAUGAUCACUUGAAGAAUACCUUCUUCAUCAGGAAAAGCCUUGGUUUUCCUCGUUCAGUUGAGCUGCUCUCAGAAAGUUAUCCGGAUAUCAUGGCCUAGCUACUACCUGGUCGUAGUGGCAAAUGCGUUGUAUGAAAAAGAUCGAAGUUUUUCUAAAUGCAAAAUGCCAAACGAAGAAGGAAAACUUGUCGUUAAACAGCCGAAUUUGCUACUCCCAUGCAGAUUAACACAAUUAUCCAAUUGAACAGCAUAAAUACAAACACUUUCAUCAUCGCCAGGUAUUUGCUGACCUUAUACAUGCAAUUUGAAAUAGUGUUCAAAUAGUUUGACAUGUGAAUUGUAAAUAUAGGAACUCAGCAGCGGUGCCAGUUUAACGUCAUUGUUGCCAGUUUUACGGAGGACCGUGAUGUGCAUCAAAAAAAGAUCACCAGUG